GACGAACGCUGGCGGCGUGCUUAACACAUGCAAGUCGAACGGAAAGGCCCUGCUUUUGUGGGGUGCUCGAGUGGCGAACGGGUGAGUAACACGUGAGUAACCUGCCCUUGACUUUGGGAUAACUUCAGGAAACUGGGGCUAAUACCGGAUAGGAGCUCCUGCUGCAUGGUGGGCGUUGGAAAGUUUCGGCUGUUGGGGAUGGACUCGCGGCUUAUCAGCUUGUUGGUGGGGUAGUGGCUUACCAAGGCUUUGACGGGUAGCCGGCCUGAGAGGGUGACCGGCCACAUUGGGACUGCGAUACGGCCCAGACUGCUACGGGAGGCAGUAGGGGGGAAUAUUGCACAAUGGGCGGAAGCCUGAUGCAGCAACGCCGCGUGCGGGAUGACGGCCUUCGGGUUGUAAACCGCUUUCGCCGGUGACGAAGCGUUAGUGACGGUAAUGGGUAAAGAAGCACCGGCUAACUACGUG
rnacentral:rRNA from 1 species